CGUGCUGGAUUCUGUGAUUUUCGCGCUCUUGGAGGACAAUAAUCGCAAGUUUAUCUAUGUUGAGAUGGUAUUUUUCCAGAGAUGGUGGAGACAGCAAAGUAAAGCUAUGAAAAAUUUAGGUCAAGGAACUUGUCAAUUCGGGUCAGAUGGAAUUCAUAAAUGGGGGUAUGUGUAUGCAUGAUGAGGCCACCCCACAUUACAUUGACCUAAUUGAUCAGACCAC